rnacentral:rRNA from 1 species
UGCAGUCGAACGUGAAAGCACUUCGGUGUGAGUAGAGUGGCGGACGGGUGAGUAACGCGUGGGAAUCUACCCAGUAGUGGGGGAUAGCCCAGGGAAACUUGGAUUAAUACCGCAUACGCCCUAUGGGGGAAAGGCUUCGGCCGCUAUUGGAUGAGCCCGCGUCAGAUUAGCUAGUUGGUAGGGUAAAGGCCUACCAAGGCAACGAUCUGUAGCUGGUCUGAGAGGACGAACAGCCACACUGGGACUGAGACACGGCCCAGACUCCUACGGGAGGCAGCAGUGGGGAAUAUUGGACAAUGGGCGAAAGCCUGAUCCAGCAAUGCCGCGUGUGUGAAGAAGGCCUGCGGGUUGUAAAGCACUUUCAGUUGGGAAGAUGAUGACGUUACCAACAGAAGAAGCACCGGCUAAAUCCGUGCCAGCAGCCGCGGUAAUACGGAUGGUGCGAGCGUUAAUCGGAAUUACUGGGCGUAAAGCGCGCGUAGGCGGCUAAGUCAGUCAGAAGUGAAAGCCCCGGGCUCAACCUGGGAAUUGCUUUUGAUACUGCUUAGCUAGAGUUUGGUAGAGGAUAGUGGAAUUCCAGGUGUAGCGGUGAAAUGCGUAGAUAUCUGGAGGAACAUCAGUGGCGAAGGCGACUGUCUGGACCAAAACUGACGCUGAGGUGCGAAAGCGUGGGUAGCAAACAGGAUUAGAUACCCUGGUAGAAGGGC